rnacentral:lncRNA from 12 species
GGAUAGGUCACAGAAGGCCAUGGCUCUCUCUUGGGCCACUCGCUCUGGGGAAGACAGUUGUCCUGUGAUAUGAACACAUCUGACUCGUGAGGAAGUCUUUGAGAAGAACUGACACUUCUUGACAACACCCAUCACUGAAUUGCCAGCUCUGUCCACACCCCACCUUGGAAUUGGAUUUUCCUACCCGGCCUCAAGCCUUCAGAUGACUACAGCCCUCCUACGCAUCUUGAUGCCAGCCUCACAGAAAACCCUGAGCCACAACUACCCAGGUAGGCUAUUCCAAAAUCCCUAGUCCAUAGGGAAUGUGCUACAUAAUGGUCAUUCUUGCUUCAUACUAAGUUUUCAUGCAAUUUGUGAGUGAGCAACAGGAAACUGAUACAUAAUAGUUCGGAGCCCACCUGUGGCCACCAGAAGUUCCCGCACAUUCCUCUCCCUGCCCCUUUGCUGGGCUGUGAUAAUGUUUGUGCUUGUAUAGUAUUUCUCAUCUGGGACCUGAAUAAGUACUUGUUCAGUAAUUUAGUACUCAGUUCUUACUAAUUUGGAAAAAUCAGAAGUGGUGAGAAAAAAGGCAAAAUAAUAUUUUAAGAUGUGAUGGAUAUAAAAAAUAUAAUUGGAUUUUAAAAAUUGGGAAAGUUAGCUCUAAGAAUUAUCAAGGAGCCAAACAUAUCCCUACCAACUAUCUGAGACUCUGGAAGGAUACACCGGGCUGCUGUGUUUUGGGCAGCCAUGGAGACUGCUGGAAUUGAGGUUUUUUUUUUUUUUUUUUUAUAAAGGAUUUUAUUUAUCCACUCAUGAGAGACACAGAGACAGAGGCAGAGACACAGGCAGAGGGAGAACCAGGCUCUCCACGGGACUCCCAGGAUCCCUGGGAUCACAACCCGAGCCAAAGGCAGACGCUCAACCACUGAGCCACCCAGGCACCCCUGGAAUUAUUAUGUCUCCAUUCUGCUGUGUACUUGUGAAGGCAAAGGGAGUCUGUUGCUGAUUCUUGAGGACUGUGAAACCCAUCUUGAAGAUUCUCUUGCCAGUGAUGUGAUGGAUACAGUGGACGGGGAGGAGCUGGAUGUAUAUUUUCAUGGUGUAAGGUUUGGGUUGCUAACUACCUCUGAUUCAGGAAGAAAAGAAGCCAGGCAGCUAUGGCAGCUCCAAGGUGCUGCUGGCAUUGUCCCAAAUAUUGCUGGGAAGUUGGGUGAGAUAUGUGCCUUGCUUGAGUAUUAUGAAUGUCUUCCAGUGAUGACUUUUUGA